rnacentral:rRNA from 1 species
AUCGAACGCUGGCGGCAGGCCUAACACAUGCAAGUCGAGCGGAUGAUGCGAGCUUGCUCCUGGACUCAGCGGCGGACGGGUGAGUAAUGCCUAGGAAUCUGCCUGGUAGUCGGGGAUAACGUCCGGAAACGGGCGCUAAUACCGCAUACGUCCUGAGGGAGCAAGUGGGUGAUCUUCGGACCUCACGCUAUCAUAUGAGCCUAGGUCGGAUUAGCUAGUUGGUGGGGUAAAGGCCUACCAAGGCGACGAUCCGUAACUGGUCUGAGAGGAUGAUCAGUCACACUGGAACUGAGACACGGUCCAGACUCCUACGGGAAGACGCAGUGGGGAAUAUUGGACGAUGGGCGAGAGCCUGAUCCAGCCAUGCCGCGUAUGUGAAGAAGGUCUUCGGAUUGUAGAGCGAUUUAAGUUGGGGGGAAGGGCAGUAAGUUAAUACCUUGCUGUUUUGACGUUACCAGCAGAAUAAGCACCGGCUAACUUCGUG